rnacentral:rRNA from 1 species
UAGGGAAUCUUCGGCAAUGGGGGGAACCCUGACCGAGCAACGCCGCGUGAGUGAAGAAGGUUUUCGGAUCGUAAAGCUCUGUUGUUAAGGAAGAACGAGUGUGAGAAUGGAAAGUUCAUACUGUGACGGUACUUAACCAGAAAGGGACGGCUAACUACGUGCCAGCAGCCGCGGUAAUACGUAGGUCCCGAGCGUUGUCCGGAUUUAUUGGGCGUAAAGCGAGCGCAGGCGGUUAGAUAAGUCUGAAGUUAAAGGCAGUUGCUCAACCAUUGUAGGCUUUGGAAACUGUUUAAAUUGAGUGCAGAAGGGGAGAGGGGAAUUCCAUGUGUAGCGGUGAAAUGCGUAGAUAUAUGGAGGAACACCGGUGGCGAAAGCGGCUCUCUGGUCUGUAACUGACGCUGAGGCUCGAAAGCGUGGGGAGCGAACAGG